GAAGAAAACAAAAUCCAUAUGAGUUUUAAAUCUGAAACAGAAUUUUGUAAUGAACCAAAUAAAUUUUGCAUAGUAAUGACAAUAAUUGAAGAAUCAUGUUUACUUCAGUUUUAAAUUAAGUGAUAUUGUGCAUUUUAAUUCACUUGUUUACGCAAGUCUGAUUUGUCCAGUAGUUCAUCUAUCAAGCAAGGCAAAUAUAUCAAUUGUAAAAUUUGUUAACCACCAUCAAAAAAUUAAAGUGUAGAAAUUUAGUGUUAAAUUAUUUUUUUUUGAUAAUUUUUUUGAUUAUUUGUUGUUUAAUUUUAUAUGAGUAGUCCCAAUUUUUACAGAUACAACCUCUUUAAUUAGAUAAGGUAUAGAAGAAGUCAUUAUUUGGCUCCUUAUAUUGCAAAUGUAUUUUUUUCUUUCCAUUUUUUGAGAAAUAAUGUUUGAAGAAUUGAAGGCUUCUUUUUGUAAUCUUCUUUUGGUGUCAAAUUAUUAACUGAAACACAUGUCAUAAUUAAAAUGUGCACUAGAUCAACACUUUUACAGCCAGAUAAAAUUUAAUUUCAUUCCCCAUUUUAUGAUCCAUGUCUGGGCAUCUCUGUAUGAAUGAAUAACGAAUGUAUUAGUCAAUGAUGAAGAUGAAAAAAAGCUGCACACACUUUUUUUAUACAGAUAGAGGUACAUAAUAUAUUUUAUCUUAUUGGGAAGGCAGUUGGCCUAUAAUUGCUUACAUCACUUCAUUUGAACUCUGGUAGAGAGUUGUCUCAUUGGCAAUCAAACUCCUCAUUUUUAUAGUACAACCAUUUAGAUCAUGUGGCAUUAAAGAACAACAUAUCAAUUACUGAUCAUAUUAUGCAAAUAAGUCAUUCACUUCAUUAUUUCAAAGGUUGAUUCAGUUCUGGUCAUAAUUUUUAUACGACCGCAAAUUUUGAAAAAAUUUUCGUCGUAUAUUGCUAUCACGUUGGCGUCGGCGUCGUCGUCCGAAUACUUUUAGUUUUCGCACUCUAACUUUAGUAAAAGUGAAUAGAAAUCUAUGAAAUUUUAACACAAGGUUUAUGACCAUAAAAGGAAGGUUGGUAUUGAUUUUGGGAGUUUUGGUCCCAACAUUUUAGGAAUUAGGCGCCAAAAAGGGCCCAAAUAAGCAUUUUCUUGGUUUUCGCACCAUAACUUUAGUUUAAGUUAAUAGAAAUCUAUGAAAUUUUGACACAAGGUUUAUGACCACAAAAGAAAGAUUGGGAUUGAUUUUGGGAGUUAUGGUUUCAAUAGUUUAGGAAAAAGGGGCCAAUAAAGGGCCCAAAUAAGCAUUUUUCUUGGUUUUUGCACAAUAACUUUAGUUUAAGUAAAUAGAAAUCUAUGAAAUUUAAACACAAUGUUUAUGACCACAAAAGGAAGGUUGGUAUUGAUUUUGGGAGUUUAGGACCCAACAGUUUAGGAAUUAGGGGCAAAAAAGGGACCCAAAUAAGCAUUUUUCUUGGUUUUCGCACCAUAACGUUAGUAUAAGUAAAUACAAAUCUAUGAAAUUUAAACACAAGGCUUAUGACCAUAAAAGGAAGGUUGGUAUUGAUUUUGGGAGUUUUGGUCCCAACAGUUUAGGAAAAAGGGGCCCAAAGGGUCCAAAAUUAAACUUUGUUUGAUUUCAUCAAAAUUGAAUAAUUGGGGUUCUUUGAUAUGCCGAAUCUAACUGUAUAUGUAGAUUCUCAACUUUUGGUCCCGUUUUCAAAUUGGUCUACAUUAAGGUCCAAAGGGUCCAAAAUUAAACUUAGUUUGAUUUUGACAAAAAAUGAAUCGGUUGGGUUCUUUGAUAUGUUGAAUCUAAAAAUGUACUUAGAUUCUUGAUUAUUGAAGUUUUUUGGUCCAGUUUUCAAAUUGGUCUACAUUAAGGUCCAAAAUUAAACUUUGUUUGAUUUCAUCAAAAAUUGAAUCCUUGGGGUUCUUUGAUAUGCCAAAUCUAACUGUGUAUGUAGAUUCUUCAUUUUUGGUCCUGUUUUCAAAUU
rnacentral:lncRNA from 1 species